ACUCUUCAGUCAGCAAACCACUUUUAUUUUCCUUCACCAACACCAGUUACGUCCUCCUCCUUUUAUUUAAGUACCUUAUUCUACUACUACUACAUUUUGCCUUUAGGAGUAGCUUUAGUACGUUGACUCCGACGGCGGCAGAAGCCAUAUUUUCACAUUCGCCACGGUGCGCCAAAACAAGAAGCGAUUCAAUGACGAUUCAGUAUGUCGGUAGAACUUUAGCAAUGCGAUUGUGAAGAAGGUAGUCUGUGGAAAAGCUAUCCGUUGGUUAAAGAAACGGAAAACUUAAAUUAAAUAAGCGCCCAAAGAGCAUAGAGGAUUUCAUAUAAUAAGCCAAGUGCAAUUUGUACCGGUGUGACUAAGGGUGUGCUACGGUAAAACUGAAUCCAGCAAAGCAGCCAAAAAUAGUUAAUCAUAAGAUAUCCUGAAAGGUGCAAACCUAUACGCGAGAUUCAUCAUAAGUUGAAACAAAAAAGCAGAGAUUCUCAUAUAUGGCACUUACAUGCGCAAAAGUGAUUACGGCACACAAAUUGGAGCAAACACUGAAUACUAUAGAUAUUAAAGACGGAAGUGGGUGACAUUGGGAGUAUGCAGUCCAACAAUGCCGCCACUUUUAUUGAAUUUGACAGUAGUGGUGGUAACAGUGGGUACGUUCGGAUGUCCUUAUUGUCAGCGAAAAUACUCUUAUUGGUUUCGGUAGCUAAGUGGACAACGUACAAGAUAAUUAUUUCCAACUUAUAGGUAUGGCAUCAGUCAUUAAUUGGUUGAAUCGAUCACUGCUACUAUAUGGCAUAAAUAACUGUGGUAUAAAUAUUCACAUUCUAAUCAACGAAGCAAUGGUAAAAAUGCCACGUUUUCGUGGAAGAGCAAAAAAUAUUGGUCGACGUACUCGGAACGCGAAAUUGGUCUAUGAUCGUCGAUUUAAUAGAUUAGUAAAAGAACAAUCGGCGGAUAAUAUAAAUUUAUGAAAUCAAGUUGCACGUAUACGAUCAAAUGCAAAUUCAGGGUAACGCACUCAACGUAUUCGUGGUAAUACCUUAAUACAACGAGGGGCCGUCAACAAGCGACCAACGCACAUAGAGAACAUAACCAACGGCGAAUGCAGAAUAAUCGAGCAUUGGCACGAGCAUCACUUAAUCGUCUCGCGUUUGAAUAUGAUCCUGAAAUAAACUAUUCGUCACAUCUAUUAAUGACAAUCGGUAGUUUGGACAAAGAGUGUCAACAUUGUCAUGCUUUCAAGUAACAAAGGUAUAUCAGCUGGCUUAUGUUGCUCAUCUGGGAAAAUUUCAUUGCUUUUAGCUGGAACCACAUCUCAAUCGAAAUUGUUUUUGCGGAAAAUUCGUAAAUACAAUUCAUGUUCCAAAUGUUGUUAUUUGGAGCAAAAAAAUUGUUCAUCGUGAAGAUGGUCGCAAUUUUGAAUCUAGAUUCAAGAUUCAAAGUCAAGUGUUCCAUCGAAUCAGUUCAUUGCCUUCAAUGUCUGAUGCCGAUCCAAAAUUUUUACAAAUUUAUUUUAUGGGAAAUGAAGAGCAACAAUCGCAUACACGCUCCGCUUACAACCAUAUAGAGCAGAUGGUUAAAGGAUUGUGGACAUUCUGGAAACCGUAACCAAUUGGUACCAUUGUUCAAUAUCCUUUCUAACAGACACAAAAACGACAACUACGUCACUGUCAUUAAAGCAGACAAAGUGUCCUGGAGUGGAGAGCACGCAGGCACUUAUAAUGUUCCAUUUGUUAAUGAAGUUGCAGUUUUUGUGUCUGGUGACCCAUGUGAACGUCGAGACAUAUGCAUACAACGCAGAUGAUACGAUGCAAAUAAUUCAAGACAAUUAUCGUUCUUACGAUGCUUUGCAGUAUCCGUUGACAUUUGGGAAGGAGAAGAUGGAUAUCAUUUAAGUAUUAACCAAAGGAAUCCAACUACAGGUACAUCUUAUAGAUUAUCUUACAAUUUUUCAAUUCAAUUCAAUUAAGUCAAUAAUUUUUGUUUAUGUCAUAAAUAUAUUCAUUUAUAGGUGAAGAACUGAUGAAGACAUAUAGAAUAGUGCUUGAAACUUCUACGAAUAACUAAUGUUUCAUCAGUACAUUAUGGAUAUGUAUGUAAAAAUUGAAAGUGAGAGAUUACGAUAUAUAAAAUUUAAUCGAGCAAAACUUCGUACUGAGGAGUAUAUUAAUAUGCGUAAUGCCAUAAUGGGUAACGUAACGUGCCACAAAUGACAUCAACAACAUCAGUACUGCAUAUACAUAUCCUCCCAUCAUCAUACAAUGGUCGUUCGCGUCAUAUGCAAGAAUACAUUCAAGACGCUAUGAAUUACGUACGUGCAACCGCCGACCAGAUCUUUUUAUCACAUUUACGUGUAAUCUAAACUGGGAUGAAAUUAAAAAUUUGCAGUUGUCAGGUCAAAUAUCGAUGCAUCGCAAGAAAAUCCGUGUUUCUCUCACGGUCAGUUAUAUGUUGCUUGUUCCUGAGUUGGAAACUCAUUGAAUUUGUUUGUUUAGACGCUUCAAGGACUAAGCAAAAAUAUUGUACAUCCAAUGGCAUUACGAUAAACUGAGUUUAUGUAAAUUACAAAAAAUAUAGGUUAUAAAAUAAAACAGUUUGAGUGUAAGCUUUUUCACCUUUAAUUAAAAUGACUUAAAAUUAUUACUGAACACAGCUUCUAGAUUUUAUUUCACUCAUACAGUAUACACAUAUUCACAACCUAUGGAUUGGUUGAAUUUUGAUAAAUGGGCCUGUAAUGAGGUUAGAUACUGUAACAACUAUAUAUGUAUGUAUACGUAAUUACGUGAACGCAGAAGAGGUUUAGUAGGUGAGGAGAACACUAUUUUAUCCUAUACCGUCAGGUCCAAAACGAACUGUGUCGUAAAGAGAAAGGUAUACUCGGAGGAGCUUGAUAUCUCUCUUACCUUGCCGUCUACAAAGCUCAGCCAGCAUCUUCCAAGCGGAAGUACUGGGUAUAGAGCAGGACUGUGAAGUUCUAUUUAUUGAACAAAUCUCCAGUUUUAUCACAAAUCAGACCACGAAUGUCUGGAAUUCAUCAGAUAGCAAGCCUUGAAUGUCUAUCUAAAAAAAGCAUAACAGAAUUAAGUAGCUUCAUUGAGGGCUUUAAAUGACUUGAACGCAACAAUGAAACGCGUAAGUUCUUACGAUAGAGUAUCAAAAUAGCAUAUUGAAUUCAAAGGCCAGCACUCUUACCUACCUCCCAACUAUGGCUAUUUCGACCAAACUUGUUGAUUAUGAAUCUUUCUAGCACUCCUUAAACAUUCCCUAAUAAUACUUUUGCUGAACAUUGUUUAUAAUGCG